AGUAAAGUCAGCUAAACAAGCUUUUGGGCCCAUACCCCAAACAUGUUGGUUAACCCCUCCCUCUACUA
rnacentral:tRNA from 1 species